CUUUUUCACUAAACAUUGUCAUUCGUAAGUUGGACUCGUAGUGCGAUAAGCAUAUUAUUGAAAUUUCGCUUUUACAUUUCGUUUAAACACCGAUAAGUUACUGUUGUUGAGGAAAAAGAAAACCAGAGCAUUCAAUAAUAUUAUUAUUCCAACUGAUUAAAAAAUGGUAGGAAGUCGCGUUUAUGUUGGAGGUUUACCAUACGGAGUCCGUGAACGAGACUUGGAACGAUUUUUCAAGGGAUAUGGACGAACCAGAGACAUAUUGAUUAAAAAUGGCUACGGCUUUGUGGAAUUUGAAGAUUAUCGCGAUGCGGACGAUGCUGUCUAUGAGUUAAAUGGAAAAGAAUUGCUGGGAGAAAGAGUGGUAGUGGAACCGGCCCGUGGACAAGCCAGAGGUAGUCACAGAGACAGAUACGACAGUGACAGAUAUGGUGGCCGCGGUCGGGGCGGCGGUGGUGGUCGAUACAAUGACAAAGCUGCAUCAAGAUAUGGUCCUCCGUUACGCACAGAAUAUCGUGUUAUUGUUGAAAACCUUUCAAGCCGCGUGAGUUGGCAGUGAAAAAUAACACUAGAAGAUGAAGGGAUGAUGCGUUGAUGAAGACGGUUUUGAAGAUAUCUGAUGAAGAGAGAAAGAGAUCGUAUCGUUGACACUGAUUUGAUGAUGAUGAUGAUGAUGAGAUGACCCCUCCCAAUUCUUCCCGAAUCGAGAGAGUGAUGUUAAACGGAUUAAUUAGGAUAAUAACACUUGUGAAGAGACGGCAAAAAAAUACUAUCUUGUGUGUGACUUGACUGAGAGAGGCCAUUGUGGACGGUUGAUAAUCUGGUUUUCACGAAGUGAGAGAGAGAGAGGCCCGUAGCUCGGUGACGAUUCUCAAAUAGAAAAUAAAAUGAUGAAAACGUUGACGGGAUGAUUUAUGUGAUGGAGUAUUGCGGAACUGAUGGUGGCGCACUCUUGCGUAUACUUUCGAAAAAGCCUCCCAAAAAUAUGGGUUCGCUGAUGAUACUUGUGACUAAGAGACUAUGGUCCCCCCCAAUGGUGACUUGAGAGAAAUGAGACGCUAUAAAUUUGGUGGUGCUUCACACAUUCAAUCAGACGUUAAAUAGGGCUCCCCCUUUCACACAAAAAAACCAAACUAAGUAUACCGUGUGAAACAAAUAUACAAGACAGCGCUCGAAAAUUAACCAGUCAAUAAAAUCUAUUCAAAAAAAAAACCAUUGUCGAGAGGUUGGCUAAAAAAAUGUUUGGGUCAGGAAAAAUCGCAUAUAAACCACACACGUUCAAAAAUGAAUACCAAAAAAAUGAAAAAAAAUGAAUUGGUGGUCGUAAUACCGUUGUUUGACGCUCACUUAUCAAUACCUCACUCGUGUAAUGCUAUUGCAACCGACCAACGAAAGUGCUGUGUACUAUGGCUUUCUUCCAAUAUUUCGUACAAAAAACACUGAUUCAUCUCCAUCCAGUUAAAUAAAAUCAACUUUCUUGUGCGCUUGUGUGGUGGCAGUGACCAAAUCUAAUAAAUAAAACGUUAUGGUACCGUCCUCCACUACUUCAUUGCCGUCCCACAAGGUAAUGGUCGAAAAUAUGUUGCCAGAUGAUAUUUAAUCGCAUUUUAAAUGAAACCAAACCACAGUGUUUUAUGAUCUUAAGGAUUAUAUGCGUCAGGCUGGAGAAGUGACAUAUGCUGACGCCCAUAAACAGCGUCGUAAUGAGGGUGUUGUAGAGUUUGCCUCAGUUUCGGAUAUGAAGAAUGCCAUCGAGAAAUUGGAUGAUACCGAGUUGAAUGGACGUCGUGUACGGUUAGUCGAAGACCGACGUGGAGGAGGACGAGGCAAUGGAGCCGGUGGCAGUGGACGUGGUGGUCGUUCACGUUCAUCCAGCAGUCGAUCUAAGUCACGCAGCCGAUCACGUUCGCGCAGACGUAGCCGAUCCAGGUCAUCACGCAGCCGAUCGAAGUCACGUAGCCGUUCCAAAUCUCGAGGAAAUCGCAGCAAAUCUAAAUCACCCGUAAAGAAUUCACGUUCAAGAUCACGAUCAAAUCGUCGCGAUCGCUCCAAAUCAUUGAAACGCGAUUCUCGCUCCCAUUCUCGUUCGUUGAAACGUGAUUCUAAAUCUCGAUCACGUUCAAAAUCGAAGGGUGGUCGAUCUCGAUCAAACGAUCGUUCAGUAUCAAAAUCGAAGGAUCGUGAAUCGAGAUCAAUUUCACCAAAAAAUAACGGCGGAUCGCCCGGCGGCAGGCAUGAAAGUAUGGAAGAUUAGACAGAAAAAAAAACGAAAAGAAAUUUUGUUGUGGAAUUAGUCGUUAACACUUAGCAAAGAAAAUGAUUUGUACGAUUUUCUUUGGAUGAUAUUUGUCGUCUAUUGUCUAUUUUUCUAAAAAUAAACACAAAAAUUAUUCAAAAAAUUGUGAAUGGGACGAGAUAGAGAAAAAGAGGAUAAAUUGUACCCGCUCUUGUCUUUUCUCUUCUUUUUUUUCUUUAUGGGAAUUCAGAAACAAUUUUGAAAAAGUAAAUUUGGUUAAACAAAACAAAAAAAUAAAACAUUUCAAUUUAGCAUAGUCUGAACGAACCAGCAAAGUUUGGUUCUUUUUUUUUUUGACUACGCGUUACAUUUCUAUUAUAUUUUGUAAUGGCACUAGUAUAGAAUACAUGAAAUCGAAAGAAAGAAAACUAUUGACUGCAUCAUUGAUACACAACAGCAAAAACCUAACAUUUAUAAAUGGAUGG